ACGCAUCACUGGUGUUCGGGUUGUCAUGCCAAUGGCACUGCCCGGUAGCUAAAUGCGGAAGAGAUAAGUGCUGAAAGCAUCUAAGCACGAAACUUGCCCCGAGAUGAGUUCUCCCUGACUCCUUGAGGGUCCUGAAGGAACGUUGAAGACGACGACGUUGAUAGGCCGGGUGUGUAAGCGCAGCGAUGCGUUGAGCUAACCGGUACUAAUGAACCGUGAGGCUUAACCUU
rnacentral:rRNA from 1 species